UGACGUGGAGAAGGGUUUCGCGUGAACAGUAGUUGCUCGCGAGUCAGUCGAUCCUAAGCUCAAGGAGAGAUCUUAUGUCGAUGUGGCGUGUUUACUCUUUUAUAUUUUA
rnacentral:miRNA from 1 species